rnacentral:rRNA from 1 species
UACGUAGGGCGCGAGCGUUGUCCGGAAUUAUUGGGCGUAAAGGGCUCGUAGGCGGUUUGUCGCGUCGGGAGUGAAAUCCACUGGCUUAACUGGUGGCUUGCUUCGAUACGGGCAGACUGGAGGUAUGCAGGGGAGAACGGAAUUCCUGGUGUAGCGGUGAAAUGCGCAGAUAUCAGGAGGAACACCGGUGGCGAAGGCGGUUCUCUGGGCAUGUCCUGACGCUGAGGAGCGAAAGUGUGGGGAGCGAACAGG